GACGAACGCUGGCGGCGUGCUUAACACAUGCCAGUCGAACGGAAAGGCCCUGCUUUUGUGGGGUGCUCGAGUGGCGAACGGGUGAGUAACACGUGAGCAACCUGCCCUUGACUUUGGGAUAACUUCAGGAAACUGGGGCUAAUACCGGAUAGGAGCUCCUGCUGCAUGGUGGGGGUUGGAAAGUUUCGGCGGUUGGGGAUGGACUCGCGGCUUAUCAGCUUGUUGGUGGGGUAGUGGCUUACCAAGGCUUUGACGGGUAGCCGGCCUGAGAGGGUGACCGGGCCCAUUUGGGCUGAGAGACGGGCCCGAGUCCUAAGGGAGGGAGAAGUGGGGAAAAUUGGACAAAGGGGCGAAGGCUGAUGGAGGAACGCCGGGUGCGGGAAUGCGGCCUUCCGGGUGUAAACCGCUUUCGCCUGUGACGAAGCGUGAGUGACGGUAAUGGGUAAAGAAGCACCGGCUAACUACGUG
rnacentral:rRNA from 1 species